GAUGAACGCUGGCGGCGUGCUAAUACAUGCAAGUCGAGCGAACGGACGAGAAGCUUGCUUUUCUGAUGUUAGCGGCGGACGGGUGAGUAACACGUGGAUAACCUACCUAUAAGACUGGGAUAACUUCGGGAAACCGGAGCUAAUACCGGAUAAUAUUUUGAACCGCAUGGUUCAAAAGUGAAAGACGGUCUUGCUGUCACUUAUAGAUGGAUCCGCGCUGCAUUAGCUAGUUGGUAAGGUAACGGCUUACCAAGGCAACGAUGCAUAGCCGACCUGAGAGGGUGAUCGGCCACACUGGAACUGAGACACGGUCCAGACUCCUACGGGAGGCAGCAGUAGGGAAUCUUCCGCAAUGGGCGAAAGCCUGACGGAGCAACGCCGCGUGAGUGAUGAAGGUCUUCGGAUCGUAAAACUCUGUUAUUAGGGAAGAACAUAUGUGUAAGUAACUGUGCACAUCUUGACGGUACCUAAUCAGAAAGCCACGGCUAACUACGUG
rnacentral:rRNA from 1 species